CCUGCAGGUGGGGAGCCGGGGUUCGAACCGGGAUCCUUAUGCCGGUCCUUGUGCUUUGCGCCACCUGCGCUUAACCCGCUGCACUACAGUCCGACUCCCUAAAAUAAACCUUUUUCAAGUGCACAUGUCACAGUCAUCAAAAGUUUAUUCUAGACCAUCAGAAUAGUCUCAACAGAAUGAAAUGAAAUCUCAGUAAAUUUUUACAUACGGAUGUUCUCUCACCAUAAUGGUAAUAAAUUAACAAUAACAAUGUAACUCAAAAUCUCCAAAUAUUUUUGACUCAAACAACACACUUAGUAACUAUUUGGUCAAAGAAGUAAAAAAAAAAAAUUAGAAAAUAUCUUUAACUGAAUGAUAAUAAAAAUAUAACAUCAAAAUUUGUGAAAUAUAACUAGAACAAUGCUGAGAGAUCAACGUUUAACUGUUGGUACUUACAUUAAAAAAAGAAGAACAGUUACUUAAGUUACUGCCUCAAGAAGUUGAGGGAAACAAGAACAAAGUUAGUAGAAGAACCAACAAAGAUAGAGAGUAUAGGUGUGCUGGGUGGUGGUAGCAGUGCACAAAAGAUGAGCAUAUGUGCAUUUCUCAGAUGUGGAAAUUUAAUUCCAACGUACAUCUAAAGGAAAUGAGACCCUAUGUUCACAAAAAAAGUUUGUACAAGAAUGUUCAUAGUGACAUUAUUAUACUUAGCAACAAAGUGAAACUAAGAAUGAUUCUCUUUAAGUACAAAUAAAGUUUUACCUAAAACUUGUUUUUAUUGGUUAAAUCAUUCUCUAAUGUUCACCAUAAGUGGGGGAUCAUGGAUAGAAUUGGACUUGAGGGGGGCAUUUUAAUAAUAAGUAAAUAGGGUUUUUUGCCACUGUUUGAGUUUAUUAGUAUGUUAUAUAUCUAUGAGCAAAUAUCAGAAAUAUAUAUAUCUGUUUCAUGCCCUCAUAACAUUUUAAAAAUCACAGAAUUAUUUAUCUUGGGAAAUAAAUUUUUCUCUCUGAAAACAAAACUACUAAUAUUUUAAUUUCAUAUGAAGCUAAUAGGUUCAUAUAUGAUGUCUCUCUUGGAACUGUGUCUUUAACCACUCUAUUUUCACUGUUUUACAACAAAUUAUUUGAAUAGAUUUAAUUUCUGUAAUUUAAAACUUUUAGAGGGUGAGUUUUUUUUUAUCUCACUGAUCUAGUAUUAUUACAAAUUAUUUUUAUUAUGACUUAUUUUAGCAGAAGUUUGAUGUUUUGGACAGUUAAAUAAAGAAAACCAAAAAUUUAAUAUACUUAAUAAGUUAAAGUGGCUAAUCAAAACCUAUACCUGCAUAUUAGGAAAUAAAAACAUUGUUAGACUAGAUUUAACUUAUGUAAUUUAAAAAUCUUUAAAGGGUAAUUCUAGCUUAACUCAUUGAUCUAGUACUACUACAAUUUCUUACAUACAUGUAAAUUCUUUUGAACAAGAGUCUAAUCAUCCUGACAGUUAAAUAAAGGAAAAAUAUAAAAAUACAAUUCAUAAAUUAAGUUAAAGUUUUUUGUGUCCAGAACACCCUUUAGCUUAGGAAGUAAAAACAUAACUAUAAAAAUUGUAAUUAAUGUACUACACUGCCAAUCCCCUUCUCCUUAGUAUUGUUUUAUAGCUAAUUGAUAAAUGUUUUGUGUCAUCAUUUGUGUAUUGAUUGCCUUGAUGUGUUCAGAUAUGAAAACUCAGCUCUUCUGCAUUUCUGUAAUUUUCUGCAUUAUGUUAUACCUCAAUAAAAGCCCCUUUGAAGGAAGCUUUAGUGCAGUGGUCUCUAACCCUCUUUGCUGCCUUUCUGUCACUAUCUUUAAAAAUGUGGCACACUUUAUGAAUUUGCCAGUCAUCAUUAUAAAGGUUUUUUGUCACUAUCUUUAAAAAUGUGGCACAUUUUAUGAAUUUGCGAGUCAUCCUUAUAAAGGAGCCAUGCUAAUCUUCUCUGUAUCAUUCCAAUUUUAGUAUAUGUGCUGCCAAAACAAGCACUAAAAUUAGGUGAAUUUGUGGUAUAUGAAAUAUAUCUCAGUGAAGCUAUAAAAUAAAUGAAAAGAAAAUUAUCUAUAUAAAAAACUCAUACAAACUUAAAGAGUAGGGGGUGGAAGAGAAAUCAAUCCUGAAAGGCAUAACAGCAAAUCUGAGAUAUACUGUUUAAAUAUGAACUUGAGGACAUUAAGAGAAUGUAUGAGACAUAGAAUAACAAUAUCGGGCAAAAAUUUUAAAACUAAGAAAUGUAGUAACAACUUGGACCCAGGCAGAGGGCUGGAGUAUUGUGCAGAAAACUGACACAUUUUACAAAUGUACCAACAACUGUAUUUACUGUUUACUGUAAACCAUUAAUCCCCUCAAUUAAAAAAGGGGGGUAGAAAGGACAACUGUGCAGUGAUAGAUGAAAACCAAACUUUGGUGGUGAUUACUGCUCAAUGUAUACAAAUGUCAAAUUAAAAUAUUAUAUAUUUAAAAAGAUGUAUUAUAGACUCAGAAAUGAAGAGAGACUGGAAGAAAAUAAGAAUGAGUUAACACAACAGAAACACCUUCCUUAGCCCGACUCCCGAAAUUUUUUAAAAUCGAAAACAAAGAUAAAACAGGAUUUGAGGAAAUGUAACAAAUACUGAAUACAAUAAAACCUGGUGUAUGGAUAAAAGGAUUAUCUGAAAAGAAAAACUAAAGCAAGGGAGGAGAAUAAAUGCUGAAAACUGAUACUAAGAACACUUUCCUGGAACCAAAAGCAUUGAUUUGAGAAAGCACACCAUGUAUCUGAGAAUUUUAACCCAGAAUGAACACUGAGAUGCAUUCUAAUAAAAUUACUAAACUUCAGGGGGGAAAAAA